GCUGGCGGCGUGCCUAACACAUGCAAGUCGAGCGCGAAAGGGGGGGCAACUCCCCGAGUAGAGCGGCGCACGGGUGAGUAACGCGUGGGUAAUCUACCUCCGGGCGGGGGAUAACGACUCGAAAGGGUCGCUAAUACCGCAUGAGACCACGGGGUCUUCGGAUCCUGAGGCCAAAGGUGGCAUCGGCUUGCCGGUGCUGUCACCUGGAGAUGAGCCCGCGUCCGAUUAGCUAGUUGGCAGGGUAACGGCCUACCAAGGCUCCGAUCGGUAGCUGGUCUGAGAGGAUGGCCAGCCACACUGGAACUGGAACACGGUCCAGACUCCUACGGGAGGCAGCAGUGAGGAAUAUUGCGCAAUGGGGGAAACCCUGACGCAGCAACGCCGCGUGGGUGAAGAAGGCCUUCGGGUCGUAAAGCCCUUUCGGACGGGACGAACGCUUUGCGGCGACAAACCGCGAAGCUUGACGGUACCGUAGGAAGAAGCACCGGCUAACUCCGUGCCAGCAGCCGCGGUAAUACGGAGGGUGCGAGCGUUGUUCGGAAUUACUGGGCGUAAAGCGCGUGUAGGCGGCCUUGUAAGUCAGAUGUGAAAGCCCUCGGCUUAACCGGGGAAGUGCAUCUGAAACUGCUUGGCUUGAGUACCGGAGAGGGAGGCGGAAUUCCCAGUGUAGAGGUGAAAUUCGUAGAUAUUGGGAGGAACACCGGUGGCGAAAGCGGCCUCCUGGACGGAUACUGACGCUGAGACGCGAAAGCGUGGGGAGCAAACAGGAUUAGAUACCCUGGUAGUCCACGCUGUAAACGAUGGGCACUAGGUGUGGGGGGUAUCCACUCCUCCCGUGCCGCAGCUAACGCAUUAAGUGCCCCGCCUGGGGAGUACGGGCCGCAGGCUAAAACUCAAU
rnacentral:rRNA from 1 species